GAUGAACGCUGGCGGCGUGCCUAAUACAUGCAAGUCGAGCGAACAGAUGAGGAGCUUGCUCCUCUGACGUUAGCGGCGGACGGGUGAGUAACACGUGGAUAACCUACCUAUAAGACUGGGAUAACUUCGGGAAACCGGAGCUAAUACCGGAUAAUAUAUUUAACCGCAUGGUUCAAUAGUGAAAGACGGUUUUGCUUCCACUUUAGAUGGAUCCGCGCCGCAUUAGCUAGUUGGUAAGGUAACGGCUUACCAAGGCGACGAUACGUAGCCGACCUGAGAGGGUGAUCGGCCACACUGGAACUGAGACACGGUCCAGACUCCUACGGGAGGCAGCAGUAGGGAAUCUUCCGCAAUGGGCGAAAGCCUGACGGAGCAACGCCGCGUGAGUGAUGAAGGUCUUCGGAUCGUAAAACUCUGUUAUUAGGGAAGAACAAAUGUGUAAGUAACUAUGCACGUCUUGACGGUACCUAAUCAGAAAGCCACGGCUAACUACGUG
rnacentral:rRNA from 1 species